rnacentral:rRNA from 1 species
UACGUAGGUCCCGAGCGCUGUCCGGAUUUAUUGGGCGUAAAGCGAGCGCAGGUGGUUUAUUAAGUCUGGUGUAAAAGGCAGUGGCUCAACCAUUGUAUGCAUUGGAAACUGGUAGACUUGAGUGCAGGAGAGGAGAGUGGAAUUUCAUGUGUAGCGGUGAAAUGCGUAGAUAUAUGGAGGAACGCCGGUGGCGAAAGCGGCUCUCUGGCCUGUAACUGACACUGAGGCUCGAAAGCGUGGGGAGCAAACAGG